rnacentral:tRNA from 1 species
GGGUCGGUGUCCGAGUGGCUAAAGGAGGCGGUCUGUAAAAUCGUCGGCGCGAGCCUACGCAGGUUCGAAUCCUGCCCGGCCCA